CCCGUGUAGCUAGGGAUCUGGCGCCGCCUGGUCGAGAAGCUCCCGGCGCUGGACCUGUGCUCCAACAGCCCUUGCUUGUCCGGCAGCUCGUCAGAGGCGUCCGAGCCGUUGCCGAUCGGGAGUCCCAUGUCCAUGCCUCCUCCUCUCCGGCGAUGGGAAGUCCCAGAUUCCCCGCCUCUCCUCCGCUGACCUCGGGGCCACGGCCCACGGCUGACCGCAUGCGGCACCAGCUGGACGGCGACCACUGGCUCAUCCGCCGCCACCGCCUCAGCCUCGACGUCCUGCUCGGGCACGAUCUUCACAGUGAACACAAGUUACACAACAGCCAUAUUUCUUCAAGCCACCCAUGUGCCGCAGUUUAUCGAAGCCUGAAUCUCUUCCAAGGUCUUGCCUUUUGUCUCCGGCACGAUCUUCACAAUGAAGAGAAUAGCCAUGGCACAAACAAAGGCGAAGAAGAAGAAUGUUCCUGCAAGAUGAUUUGCAUAUCAGACAAAUGUCCCUGGAUGAUUCAAGCAACACCAUAGGGGGCUGAUGUAGAUUUGGCUGACCUGAAGCACUCCAGCUCAUGAGGAAGUUGAAGGCGAAGGAAACUGUCAAUGAAGCCAACCAGUUCACCAGAGUCACGAAGCUUCCGCCGAUUCCUUUUAUAUUAAUGGGGAAUAUCUGCGUCCAAUCCGAUCGACCAUGUCAAGGAGUGCUAAUCUCGAGCGAUGAAGAAAUUUGAUUGUUCUGAAGUGUGAACUCUAAACCUCUGACAUUAUGACCCAAGGAACGGAACCCAUCCCUAGUGAAUAGCUUGCAAUGUAGACCUGUUUCAGUCAUAUUACAAAAGGAUUUAGCGUGGAAAAAAGUUCAGAUAAGCAUCGGGUCACUUGUUGAGCAAAACAAAGGCUUUUCUGGUGUACCAAUAUGCUGGUGAGUGUGAUGAUUGGGACUUGCUCCGGGAGUAUCCCGUGAACCUACACUCAGCAGAUAUUCUUCAACUUGAUGAAGUUUUGAUACAAAAGGAAUUAAAGGAUAUAAAAGAGCACCAGCAGAUAUGCAAUGAAAGUUACCUUAAGGUAGAAUGAUACUGCUGACAUAAGAGUCCCGACGAUGAGUCCGGAUGUGGAAACCUGCAGAAAAUAAAAUGAAAUGACAGUUCAGAA